rnacentral:misc_RNA from 1 species
UAAAAUUGCCCAAAUAAAAAUUAAUAAAUUAAAUCCUUUCUAUACCCACUGUCGUGUGUCUUCUCUGUAAUAAUACCCACAAAAAACAAAAACAAAACAAAGCUUAAUUAGAAUCAAGGAAGAGACAGAUAGGGAAACAGAUUCUGAACGCCAUGUUACUAGACGCUCCUCAUCUCCACCCGUAAGGCCUACCUGUUAACUUGUACUAUU